rnacentral:rRNA from 1 species
GGGUUGUGAGGUUAAGCGACUAAGCGUACACGGUGGAUGCCCUGGCAGUCAGAGGCGAUGAAGGACGUGCUAAUCUGCGAUAAGCGUCGGUAAGGUGAUAUGAACCGUUAUAACCGGCGAUUUCCGAAUGGGGAAACCCAGUGUGAUUCGUCACACUAUCAUUAACUGAAUCCAUAGGUUAAUGAGGCGAACCGGGGGAACUGAAACAUCUAAGUACCCCGAGGAAAAGAAAUCAACCGAGAUUCCCCCAGUAGCGGCGAGCGAACGGGGAGCAGCCCAGAGCCUGAAUCAGUGUGUGUGUUAGUGGAAGCGUCUGGAAAGGCGCGCGAUACAGGGUGACAGCCCCGUACACAAAAAUGCACAUGCUGUGAGCUCGAUGAGUAGGGCGGGACACGUGGUAUCCUGUCUGAAUAUGGGGGGACCAUCCUCCAAGGCUAAAUACUCCUGACUGACCGAUAGUGAACCAGUACCGUGAGGGAAAGGCGAAAAGAACCCCGGCGAGGGGAGUGAAAAAGAACCUGAAACCGUGUACGUACAAGCAGUGGGAGCACGCUUAGGCGUGUGACUGCGUACCUUUUGUAUAAUGGGUCAGCGACUUAUAUUCUGUAGCAAGGUUAACCGAAUAGGGGAGCCGAAGGGAAACCGAGUCUUAACUGGGCGUUAAGUUGCAGGGUAUAGACCCGAAACCCGGUGAUCUAGCCAUGGGCAGGUUGAAGGUUGGGUAACACUAACUGGAGGACCGAACCGACUAAUGUUGAAAAAUUAGCGGAUGACUUGUGGCUGGGGGUGAAAGGCCAAUCAAACCGGGAGAUAGCUGGUUCUCCCCGAAAGCUAUUUAGGUAGCGCCUCGUGAAUUCAUCUCCGGGGGUAGAGCACUGUUUCGGCAAGGGGGUCAUCCCGACUUACCAACCCGAUGCAAACUGCGAAUACCGGAGAAUGUUAUCACGGGAGACACACGGCGGGUGCUAACGUCCGUCGUGAAGAGGGAAACAACCCAGACCGCCAGCUAAGGUCCCAAAGUCAUGGUUAAGUGGGAAACGAUGUGGGAAGGCCCAGACAGCCAGGAUGUUGGCUUAGAAGCAGCCAUCAUUUAAAGAAAGCGUAAUAGCUCACUGGUCGAGUCGGCCUGCGCGGAAGAUGUAACGGGGCUAAACCAUGCACCGAAGCUGCGGCAGCGACGCUGAUGCGUUGUUGGGUAGGGGAGCGUUCUGUAAGCCUGCGAAGGUGUGCUGUGAGGCAUGCUGGAGGUAUCAGAAGUGCGAAUGCUGACAUAAGUAACGAUAAAGCGGGUGAAAAGCCCGCUCGCCGGAAGACCAAGGGUUCCUGUCCAACGUUAAUCGGGGCAGGGUGAGUCGACCCCUAAGGCGAGGCCGAAAGGCGUAGUCGAUGGGAAACAGGUUAAUAUUCCUGUACUUGGUGUUACUGCGAAGGGGGGACGGAGAAGGCUAUGUUGGCCGGGCGACGGUUGUCCCGGUUUAAGCGUGUAGGCUGGUUUUCCAGGCAAAUCCGGAAAAUCAAGGCUGAGGCGUGAUGACGAGGCACUACGGUGCUGAAGCAACAAAUGCCCUGCUUCCAGGAAAAGCCUCUAAGCAUCAGGUAACAUCAAAUCGUACCCCAAACCGACACAGGUGGUCAGGUAGAGAAUACCAAGGCGCUUGAGAGAACUCGGGUGAAGGAACUAGGCAAAAUGGUGCCGUAACUUCGGGAGAAGGCACGCUGAUAUGUAGGUGAAGUCCCUCGCGGAUGGAGCUGAAAUCAGUCGAAGAUACCAGCUGGCUGCAACUGUUUAUUAAAAACACAGCACUGUGCAAACACGAAAGUGGACGUAUACGGUGUGACGCCUGCCCGGUGCCGGAAGGUUAAUUGAUGGGGUUAGCGCAAGCGAAGCUCUUGAUCGAAGCCCCGGUAAACGGCGGCCGUAACUAUAACGGUCCUAAGGUAGCGAAAUUCCUUGUCGGGUAAGUUCCGACCUGCACGAAUGGCGUAAUGAUGGCCAGGCUGUCUCCACCCGAGACUCAGUGAAAUUGAACUCGCUGUGAAGAUGCAGUGUACCCGCGGCAAGACGGAAAGACCCCGUGAACCUUUACUAUAGCUUGACACUGAACAUUGAGCCUUGAUGUGUAGGAUAGGUGGGAGGCUUUGAAGUGUGGACGCCAGUCUGCAUGGAGCCGACCUUGAAAUACCACCCUUUAAUGUUUGAUGUUCUAACGUUGACCCGUAAUCCGGGUUGCGGACAGUGUCUGGUGGGUAGUUUGACUGGGGCGGUCUCCUCCUAAAGAGUAACGGAGGAGCACGAAGGUUGGCUAAUCCUGGUCGGACAUCAGGAGGUUAGUGCAAUGGCAUAAGCCAGCUUGACUGCGAGCGUGACGGCGCGAGCAGGUGCGAAAGCAGGUCAUAGUGAUCCGGUGGUUCUGAAUGGAAGGGCCAUCGCUCAACGGAUAAAAGGUACUCCGGGGAUAACAGGCUGAUACCGCCCAAGAGUUCAUAUCGACGGCGGUGUUUGGCACCUCGAUGUCGGCUCAUCACAUCCUGGGGCUGAAGUAGGUCCCAAGGGUAUGGCUGUUCGCCAUUUAAAGUGGUACGCGAGCUGGGUUUAGAACGUCGUGAGACAGUUCGGUCCCUAUCUGCCGUGGGCGCUGGAGAACUGAGGGGGGCUGCUCCUAGUACGAGAGGACCGGAGUGGACGCAUCACUGGUGUUCGGGUUGUCAUGCCAAUGGCACUGCCCGGUAGCUAAAUGCGGAAGAGAUAAGUGCUGAAAGCAUCUAAGCACGAAACUUGCCCCGAGAUGAGUUCUCCCUGAC